CUGAUGGAAUAAGAAAGAUGUCAAACUUGGUGAUAUUUUUACACAUGGCAUGUUGGAAGGCUUUUUUGAUUUUUAAGAGUGGGUUAUUAAAUAUUUUCAUCUUCUAGUUUUCUUUUUAUUGUUUUGAAAGUUUUGCAAACAUAAUAAAGUAUGUAGGCACAAAAGUUUGAAGUGACCUGGCACUAAAGGGAACAAAAAAAGCUUCACCCUCUUGAAACAGGAUUCUGCACACAGAACUCGUUUUCCUCCAUGGCAAACAAAUUUCUGGAGUUUACUUUGGCAGGAAUUCCCACCACCAUUUUGUUAAACAGAAAUGGAAGGGUGUUUCCAAGCAGCAUGUUUCUUUGUUGCCAUGUGAAAUACAGUUUUAAAUCUGUUUUCUGUAGGCACUUAGUUUUGUUUUUACUUUCCUUGUCUUCUUCCCAUACAUCUACAGCUUCCUUACACCACUGGGAAUCAUGGAAUAAGAGAUUGGCUUGGGUUGGAAGGGACCUUAAAGUUAAAG